rnacentral:rRNA from 1 species
ACGCUGGCGGCACGCCUAACACAUGCAAGUCGAACGAAGUAGCAAUACUUAGUGGCAGACGGGUGAGUAACAUGUAGGUAUCUACCCUUUGGCCUGGAAUAACACGAGGAAACUUGUGCUAAUACCGGAUAAGUCUUUACGGAGAAAGCUUUAUGCACCAUUGGAUGAGCCUGCACUUGAUUAGUUAGUUGGUAGGGUAACGGCCUACCAAGACUUUGAUCAAUAGCUGAUUUGAGAGGAUGAUCAGCCACAUUGGGACUGAGACACGGCCCAAACUCCUACGGGAGGCAGCAGUGGGGAAUCUUGCACAAUGGAGGAAACUCUGAUGCAGCGAUGCCGCGUGAGUGAAGAAGGCCUUUGGGUUGUAAAGCUCUUUCGUCGGGGAAGAAAAUGACUGUACCCGAAUAAGAAGGUCCGGCUAACUUCGUGCCAGCAGCCGCGGUAAUACGAAGGGACCUAGCGUAGUUCGGAAUUACUGGGCUUAAAGAGUUCGUAGGUGGUUGAAAAAGUUGGUGGUGAAAUCCCAGAGCUUAACUCUGGAACUGCCAUCAAAACUUUUCAGCUAGAGUUUGAUAGAGGAAAGCAGAAUUUCUAGUGUAGAGGUGAAAUUCGUAGAUAUUAGAAAGAAUACCGAUUGCGAAGGCAGCUUUCUGGAUCAUUACUGACACUGAGGAACGAAAGCAUGGGUAGCGAAGAGGAUUAGAUACCCUCGUAGUCCAUGCCGUAAACGAUGUGUGUUAGACGUUGGAAAUUUAUUUUCUGUGUCGCAGCGAAAGCGAUAAACACACCGCCUGGGGAGUACG